rnacentral:rRNA from 1 species
UACGAAGGGGGCUAGCGUUGCUCGGAAUCACUGGGCGUAAAGGGUGCGUAGGCGGGUUUUUAAGUCAGGGGUGAAAUCCUGGAGCUCAACUCCAGAACUGCCUUUGAUACUGAAGAUCUCGAGUCCGGGAGAGGUGAGUGGAACUGCGAGUGUAGAGGUGAAAUUCGUAGAUAUUCGCAAGAACACCAGUGGCGAAGGCGGCUCACUGGCCCGAUACUGACGCUGAGGCGCGAAAGCUAGGGGAGCAAACAGG